AAGACUAUACUUUCAGGGAUCAUUUCUAUAGCUCGUUACUAGAGAAGUUUCUCUGACUGUGUAGAGCACCCGAAACCACGGGGAGGAGACGCAGUAGCGUCCCCUCCUGAGCGUGAAGCCAGCUCUACGUGCUGCUUCAGGGCAGCUGCCUCUUGCCAUUGCUGAUUGUUCUUCUCUCCUUCGGGAGGGUGAGAGGGAGGGAACGCAGUCUGAGUGGG